rnacentral:rRNA from 1 species
ACAUGCAAGUCGAGCGGACAGAUGGGAGCUUGCUCCCUGAUGUUAGCGGCGGACGGGUGAGUAACACGUGGGUAACCUGCCUGUAAGACUGGGAUAACUCCGGGAAACCGGGGCUAAUACCGGAUGCUUGUUUGAACCGCAGGUUCAAACAUAAAAGGUGGCUUCGGCUACCACUUACAGAUGGACCCGCGGCGCAUAGCUAGUUGGUGAGGUAAUGGCUCACCAAGGCGACGAUGCGUAGCCCACCUGAGAGGGUGAUCGGCCACACUGGGACUGAGACACGGCCCAGACUCCUACGGGAGGCAGCAGUAGGGAAUCUUCCGCAAUGGACGAAAGUCUGACGGAGCAACGCCGCGUGAGUGAUGAAGGUUUUCGGAUCGUAAAGCUCUGUUGUUAGGGAAGAACAAGUACCGUUCGAAUAGGGCGGUACCUUGACGGUACCUAACCAGAAAGCCACGGCUAACUACGUGCCAGCAGCCGCGGUAAUACGUAGGUGGCAAGCGUUGUCCGGAAUUAUUGGGCGUAAAGGGCUCGCAGGCGGUUUCUUAAGUCUGAUGUGAAAGCCCCCGGCUCAACCGGGGAGGGUCAUUGGAAACUGGGGAACUUGAGUGCAGAAGAGGAGAGUGGAAUUCCACGUGUAGCGGUGAAAUGCGUAGAGAUGUGGAGGAACACCAGUGGCGAAGGCGACUCUCUGGUCUGUAACUGACGCUGAGGAGCGAAAGCGUGGGGAGCGAACAGGAUUAGAUACCCUGGUAGUCCACGCCGUAAACGAUGAGUGCUAAGUGUUAGGGGGUUUCCGCCCCUUAGUGCUGCAGCUAACGCAUUAAGCACUCCGCCUGGGGAGUACGGUCGCAAGACUGAAACUCAAAGGAAUUGACGGGGCCCGCACAAGCGGUGGAGCAUGUGGUUUAAUUCGAAGCAACGCGAGAACCUUACCAGGUCUUGACAUCCUCUGACAUCCUAGAGAUAGGACGUCCCCUUCGGGGGCAGAGUGACAGGUGGUGCAUGGUUG